UCUUCAUUCCACAUGCUUUCUCA
rnacentral:miRNA from 1 species